AUUCAACUGACGAGUCUCAAAUAGGACGAAACUCUCAUCGUGGAU
rnacentral:hammerhead_ribozyme from 1 species